rnacentral:lncRNA from 1 species
AUGCUGAAUAAAUGUCUGCUGGGAGAAUGCAUGAAUGAAUGAAUGCAUGGAGGAAGAGGAAGGAGAGGAAGAGAGAGAAGAAGAUAGUGGGAAGGAAGAGAGGAAGAGGAAAUAAAAAACAGGAAAAGGAGAUGGAAGAAGAAGGAGAGUGCAGUAUAGGGUCGGAAAGAAAAAAGGCAUCCCUUGAUUUGAUCUUAUCCCCUUUGUCUUCCUGGGGACUGGAAGGCCCUUCUCAGUUCCUUUCUUUUCCCUCUCCUCCCAACAGGAUAAGGACUUUGGCCACAGCCCUGCCUAUCCCCCAGGUAUCCCCAUAAAGUCUUUAACCCUUAGAUAUAGAACUGCUCUGUCCCUUUUCUACAAAACAAAUGUGUUAUUUGGGCAGAAGAGGAAAGGAGAAAAUUUGAAGUGGAAAAAUCUUUGGUUUGGAAAUUCAGCUGACUGCCCUCAUUUGGAAUAAAAUGUCCUUCAGUCCCUGGCUGUGUGGCAGGCAGGCCCGGCCAACAGCAACACCGGAUGCCGGGAGACUGGGAGGAGGCCUGGGGAUUUUCAGAGGAGCCGCCAGAGUGGUAUGAACUUGGAAUCCAGGAAGAGAGUGAUGGGGCUCAUCUCCAAGGGCUGAAUCCCUAUCCUCUUCCUCAUCUCUGUCCAGACAGUGGUCAGUUGUCCCGAUGUGUCAGGCAGAGUGCUGUCCUGGGGGCACAGACAGGACCAGGAGAAGCAAGUCCUGAGGGAGAACAGGGGCUGGGUCUGUCUCAUGUCCUGAGCACCAACCUCAGCAUCUGACACAUGGAAGGUACCCAAGAAACAUCAGCUGGGAAAAAAAAAGUAACCCUUGUCCCGAGGGGUUGACAGGAGACCCAGACUUUGCACUCAGGAGAGAGGGAGGUUGGAAGCGCCACUGAGAGGAGUCAGAGGAAAGUGUAAGGAGACUUGUAAAAAAAGGAGGUGGUCAUGAGGAUGAAAGUCAUAUGUGAAGGAUGAUGGAACAGAGGGACUAAAGGAGCCUGCCCUGGACACCCUGAUUUCCUGCUAUGGGGAGUGAAAAAGAAGCCAUAGUCCCAUGGAUUCUGUUACCAGCCACUGAGUGCAAUCCUACCUGAUCCCAUGGUCCUCACCAAGGCUGUGUCUGCUUAGGAAAUGGAGAAUGGUCCCCAAACCACAGCAGCAAAAAUGAGUGGAAGGGUUGAGCAUUAUUUCCAGCCUUGGUUGCUCUGGUGAUUGGUGCCUGGGAGGGGCAGGACCUCCAUCCAACAGACUGUACCAGCAGAGUCGUAAGAGGUAGGACUUUGGAGAUUCAGCCGUAUGUUCUAUGGGUGGACUGAAGGCUGAAGGAGGAAGAGGUAGAAGUGCAUUGCUACCGACCUACUCCAUCCCACGUGCAGACUCCCUCGACCCCCAACCCCAGGCUGUCACCUGCUCCUAUAUUCAUUUUCUCUGAGGUUGGAGGAAAGAGAAAGGAGACAGCAAUGGCCAGACUUCCCUGGGGUUCCCAAACUGGUUAGUGUGCUCUGCUCAAGUGCUGGCUCCCCGCCCCUCUCUAUGCACACACUCAGCCCAUGUUCACUGAUUCCCAUCCUACCCUCCAGUCAUUUGCCUAACUGACUUUUUUUUUUCCAGGAAACCUCAGAGAUGCAUUGGACUUGGUCAGCAGACUUGAGUUCUAUGCCCAUGCCAGUCACUGACUGGCCAUGACCUGAGUUGGACAAAUCAUGCCCACUCUAGACUUAAGUUGUUCCUUAUAUGGAAAAGGAAAGGAGUGCUUUGUCAGUGGUUCCCAGAUACCAAUUUAUAAAGAUUUCACUAGUCUGUGGCAAAAUAAUAUAACAAUGGCUAUGAAUUACUGGGUAUUUCCUUUGUGUGAAGUGGUUUUCAUAUAUUAACUCAUUUAAUCUCAUAACCACCUGGAAAAGUAUGUAUUCUUAUUAACACCUUCACAUGAUAGAUGAUAAAACCAAGGCUCAGAGAGGUUAAGUAACUUACCUGAAGGUCUUCAUAUGGUAAGUGGUAGAGCCUGGAUUUGAACUCAGGUAUCCUGGUCCCAGAGUCCACGUACUAAAUCACUACAUUACAGCUACCCAUGUGAUAAGGAAAAAGUAAGG